UACAGGGGGUGCAAACGUUGCUCGGAAUCAUUGGGCGUAAAGCGCACGUAGGCGGUCUGUUAUGUCGGAUGUGAAAUCCCUCGGCUCAACUGAGGAAGUGCAUCCGAAACUGGCAGGCUAGAGUACUAAAGAGGAUCGCGGAAUUCCCGGUGUAGAGGUGAAAUUCGUAGAUAUCGGGAGGAACACCGGUGGCGAAGGCGGCGAUCUGGGUAGAUACUGACGCUGAGGUGCGAAAGCGUGGGGAGCAAACAGG
rnacentral:rRNA from 1 species